rnacentral:tRNA from 2 species
GUGUAGCUCAGCUGGAUAGAGCGUCUGGCUACGGACCAGAAGGUCGAGGGUUCGAAUCCUUUCACG